rnacentral:rRNA from 1 species
CAGAGACUGCAAGCGUUAUUCGGAUUCACUGGGCGUAAAGGGUGCGCAGGCGGCCAUGUGUGUCAGGUGUGAAAGCCCGAGGCUCAACCUCGGAAUUGCGCCUGAAACUACAUGGCUAGAGUACUGGAGAGGGUAGCGGAAUUCAUGGUGUAGCAGUGAAAUGCGUAGAUAUCAUGAGGAACACCAGAGGCGAAGGCGGCUACCUGGACAGUUACUGACGCUCAGGCACGAAAGCGUGGGGAGCAAAAGGGAUUAGAUACCCCUGUAGUCCACGCCCUAAACGGUGCACACUAGGUCUUGGCGGAUUCGACCCCACCAGGGCCCAAGCUAACGCGUUAAGUGUGCCGCCUGAGGACUACGGCCGCAAGGCUA